rnacentral:lncRNA from 1 species
CAGACACACAUUUCCCUAACGGAGUGUUUCCAGGGGCUUCCACUCUGAUAACAACAGCACACUCACAUCACCAAUGAGGUGCUCCUGGUGACCACCAGGAACAGAGGCCACGUAGGGAGAGACUCCAACUCCCACUGAGAGUGGAAGGCCCCUUCUCCCCAGGGGCAGAACAACCGUCAGGACCCCCGCUUGACUGUCUUUGGUGGCAAGCAUGGCUGGAGUUGGCCACCCUGAGCUCAUUAUGUUGAGCACAGAGAAAUUUACCACAGGGGAAAGAAAGCAAUGCCAGAACCCUGGGCAGCCCAGGAAGAAGGCCACACUAAGCGUCUUGUGUUAAGGGUCCCUUCUCCCACAGAUGAGCCAUUUCUGGGCUAAAAUCCAUAUAGUUUUGUCCUUUCCCUCCCUAAGCUGUGAAGGAAGUGGGAGCAGUAGACAAAGCUGGGCAUCCACCCAGGGCUGGGCAGGUCUGGGGCAGA